GGGGGGGGGGUUGUUGGUGACCUGUGAUGGGGCCCCUCAAGAGCCUUCCUGGAACCUCGAGUGAUCCCAGCAUAGGAAAAGUAAGCACACAAGGCAACAUGUCAAACAUCUACGUUUCAGAAAGAUAUUAUGAAGUCACUCUGGAUUCUGCAGCCUCCAGACUUAGAACCCUAGGUGGCCGUGAACUUGUGAUCUUCCUACCUCAGUUUUCCAAGUGCUGGGAUUACAGAAAUGAAAAUGGCUGGCUCUGAUUGUCAUGCUCCAGCAGCAUCACGUGAUAUUGAUACCCCCCCUCCCCCCAUGGCUACUCCUGUGUUGUACAAACAGAGUCUAGUGAUGUCUCCUUUCUCUCUAGAAGCAGGGAAUUAGAAAUCUUUUAAGCGUAGGGGGAAAUACAGACAUAGGAAGAAAAGUUCCCAGGCACCGGGACUCUCCAGGGAGCACAGACCAUUGCAUGAAACGGAUCUGUGGGAAAUGUGAUGACCUCAGCCCUGUCCCUUGACCACAAACUGAGGAGCAAACCCCACCUUGAGGCACAUGGUCUGGCUUCUCCCUGUUUGUACUGGCUGGGUUUGUGUGUCCACUUGAUACAAGUUAGAGUCACCAGAGAGGAAGAAGCCUCAGCUGAGGAAGUGCCUCCAUGAGAUCCAGCUGUAAGGCAUUUUCUCAAUUAGUGAUCAAGGCAGGGAGGACUCAGCUCAAGGUGGGUGGUGCUGUCCCUGAGCUGGUGGUCCUGGGUUCUAUAAGAAGGCUGGCUAAGCAAGCCAGAGGAAGCAAGCAAGGAAGCAACACCCCUCCAUGGUCUCUGUUUCAGCUCCUGCCUCUAGGUUCCUGCCCUGUUUGAGUUCCUGUCCUGACUUCCUUUGGCGAUGAACAGCAAUGUGGAAGUGUAAGCUGAAUAAACCCUUUCCUCCCCA
rnacentral:lncRNA from 1 species